rnacentral:ncRNA from 22 species
CCGGUCGUGACAACUUCAGACGUCCCCGGCGGGGGAAGCCGGUCGAAGUCCGGCGCUGACCCGCAGCCGUGGUUCGUGCCGAGGCACGACGAGCCGGAAUGCCCGUCCGGGGACGAGGGCUCGUU